UUUAAAAUUGUUUAAAUGGUUUGGAUUAAAAACCAACCUAUAAAAUAAAUUCAAUUUGGUUUGGAUUGGAUUUUUUAUUUAAAAUAGGUUUUUUUUAAUAGUUUGCUUUGGUUUUAGUUUAAAAUCCAAAUCUGGAUUUUUUGCACACCCCCUAAUCAUAGCUUAUUCUAUGAUUACGGUUUAAAAGGGUGACCAUAAAAAUUUUUAUGGUUAUGGUUUUGAACAAGCAUGACUAUAGAUUAAGCUAUGGUCAUGGGUUAAAAGUGUGACCAUAGAGUGAUUUAUGGUCACGGUUUUAAAAUAGCAUAACCAUAGAAUAAUUUAUGGUCAUAGUUUAGAACUGUGAUUAUAAAAUAAACUAUGGUUACUAUUUUAAACUGUAACGUAAAGUGUUUAAUAAAAACAAUGAUAACCGUGACCAUAGAGAACUGUGACUACGAAAGAAUAGGUCACGGAUAGAAAACCAUGAUUAAAAAAUAAAAAAUAGUGACCAUAGAUCUAUAGUCAUUAUUUUUACUGGUCAUGGCCAUGUUUUUAGAAUGUAACCAUAGACUGAAAAUAUGUUCUAGUGUUUCAAAAUCUAAAUUUGUUUUGAACGACAUGAAGUUGCUUUUUGAAUGACAUGGUAUGAAAGAAAUAUAUACACACACUAAUGCCAAAUGAACAAAACUUUUUUUAAUACUAUUAUACAAUAAAAAUUUAGAAGGUUUUAUUUUGCAUUAGUGACCUAAAUAUACCUUUAAUGUAAAUAUGAGAAUUUUUCAAGACAUAUAAUAAUUGUAUAAAAGAUUGUUCGUCUCGCUAGUAAUGUUGGACAUUAAAGGAAUAUAAGCGUGAGCAGAGAGAGCAGAGAGAAGAGAGAAAAAUGAAAACUGAUAUGAGUGUAUUGAAUGAUUAUUUGAAAAUGAGUAUUAUUAUUUCUUUACACUAAAAUUAUCAAAUAUAUAUCAUAUGCUUGUAAUACAAGACUUUACAUAACAGAUUCUUGAUAAUUAACUUUUACAUGUGACACUCUGAUAUCCCCCCACAAACUCUGGGAGGCUUAGUGGACAACUUGAGUUUGCUCUGAAACUUCUCAAAUAAGUAAUUGGAGAGAGGUUUAGUGAAUAUAUCUGCUAUUUGCUCACUGGAAGGAAUGUGAGUGACUGCUACUUGAUCCUUGAUGACUCUGUCUCUAACAAAGUAAAGAUUGAGUUCAAAGUGCUUAGUGCGAUCAUGGAGGAUUGGAAUAUACGUCAACAGCACAAUGGAUAUGUUAUCACAGAACACAGUAGGUGAUGUACGACACGAUUGCUGAAUUUUGAUUAGUAGAUUCUGAAUCCAGAUCAAUUCUGCAAACACAGUUGCUAGCAUGCGAAAUUUCACCUCUGUAGAGCUACGGUUGACAGUAGGUUGUUUACUGCACUUCCAAGAGAUAAGAUUUAAACCAUAAUAAACACAAUAACCAUAAAUAGAUUUGUGAUCAUCCAUAUCCGCAGCUCAAUCAGAAUCUACAAAAGCAGUUAAUCUUAAGUCAGUUGAAGGAUAAAAUUCUAAGCAUGUGUGAAGCAUACCUGCCAAGUAACGAAGUACUCGCUUGAAAUGAAGGGCCUCAAUUCCUAGAAAAAAUUGAUAUCACCAAGAUCUUUAAGAAGAAAUGUAGAAUGUAAUUGUUGUAGUACUUUCAUUAUUUCAGAAUUAUCAUUUCCUAUUACAAACAUAUCAUCUACAUAAAGUAAAACAUAAAUAAUAGAUUUGUUAGAAAAUUAGUGAAGAGAGAGGGAUCAGACUUUGUGCACUGAAAAUCAAAGUUUCUUAAUGCAACAGUAAUGGUCAUAUACCAUGCACAAGGUGCUUGGUGUAGGCCAUAGAUUACUUUAUUAAGUUUACAUUCUAAAUAAGGAUUUGAGUGGGAAAAAUCUGGGGGUUGACUCAUAUAAACAGUUUCAUAUAGCAUUCCAUUAAGGAGCGCAUUAUGAAACUCGUAUUGUUUGAUUGUCCAACCUUUAGAAAGGGCUAAGGUUAAAAUCAAACGAAUAGUCAUAAAUUUAACCACGGGUGAGAAUACCUAAUCAAAAUCCACUCCAACAAUUUGGUUAAAGCCUCUUGCCACUAAUCUGGCUUUAUGGCGAAUAAUAUCACGCUUUGAAUUUUGUUUGACAGCAAAUAUCCAUUUGCAAGAGAUGAUUUUCUCAUUUGGUGGGGCUUCCACUAAUGUCCAAGUUUGAUGAUGGACCAAAGCUCGAUAUUCUGUCAACAUGGCUUCUUUCCAGUGUGGAGAUUGAAGAGCAGCUUUCACACUCUUAGGAAGUAUAUGCGAUGCAGACAAUGUCUGAGCUUGAAGUGUUUUUGGUUUAAGGUGUCUAGUUUUGGAUCUGGUAAGCAUAUUAUGUGUAUUUGUUGGGUUUGUAUGAGAAAUAGAGAAAGGGGGUAUGGGUGCAUGGAUCUUUGAUGCUGUUUCAUUUGUAGAAUUGUUAUCGUUGGAAGGUGAAGGUUGCAUGUUAGCUGCUGAAGACAAUGGUUGAGAUGAAGGAUGAUUUGGAGGUAGAGAAGGAAUCAGUUGAGCGGGUGUGAGAAUAGUAGGGAGUAAUGUAGAAAUUUGUGGCAACAAUUCUAAGAUUUGUGGAGUGGUAGAGUUUUGUGUUAAUUUAGAGAAGUGGAAAGUGUAAGAAAAUUGUGUUUCAUCAAAGACAACAUCCCAAAAAACAAAGAUACGGCCAUUUUGGUUCAUGCAUUUGUAACCUUUUUGAGUUGUGCUGUAAUCAAGAAAGAUGUAGGGCUGUGAUCUGGGUUCAAGCUUGUUGUGAUUGUAAGGGCUAAGAUAAAGAAAUCAAAGGCACCCAAAAACACAAAAAAGAAGGCAUAGUCAGGUUCUUGAUGAUACAAAAUUAAGGAGAGUUGUUACCUGUAACCUGGGAAGGCAUUUGAUUUAUUACGUAUAUAGCUGUAGAAAAAGCUUUAUCCCAAAAAUGGAGAGGGAGAGAAGUUGUUGCUAGGAGAGCAAGCCCAGUCUCUACAACGUGGCGAUACUUUCUUUCAGCAAUCCCAUUCUGUUGUGGAGUAUGUGGGCAGGUAGUUCUUUGAACAAUCCCUUCAUGAGCUAAUAAAAUAUUUUUGAAAGACUCGUGACAUAUACUUAGUACCAUUGUGAGUUUGAAAAGCCUUGAUGGUAUAACCUAAUUGAUUUUCCAUGCAGGAUUUAUAUUGCUUAAACACUAAAAAAACUUGUGACUUAUUUGUGAGAAGAAAAAUACUAGUAUGGCGUGAAAAGACAUUAAUAAAUGAUACAUAAUACCAAAAGCCAUGCAAGGAAGUGAUGGGAGCGGGUCCCAUACAUCUGACACAAAUAGAGAUAGAGGAGUAUAAUAAGCAUGCAUAGAUGGAGUAUAUGGAAGUUUAUGCGAUUUGGCCAUGCAACAUGAGGAGCAUACAAAAUCUGAAUUAGAAAUUGUAUUCACUGGCAAAUUGCACUUAUUUACAAUUCUUUGUAUAAUAGGAAUGGUAGGAUGUCCAAAACGUUUAUGAUAAACAUCCAAUGAAACAUACUUUGCAAACAAGACUGAAGGUGACUUAUAAGAUGAUUACACAGCUUUAGGUAUGGAAACUUUCUCAAAUUUAUAUAUUCUUGUCUCACCCUUGUCUUUGAGAAAUUUGUUUUACACAAUUUCUCAGCUAGUGGAUUGUUGAAUGGUUUAUCCUUGGAAUUUGAUGAAGUAGAAACUACUGGUAUUGAUUCAGCAUCAUCAUCAUUGGUUUGAAUACUUUCAAGUUGAGUCAUGGAUCUUGGGCGUUCUGAUACUAUAAAAGAAUAUAAGCGUGAGCAGAGAGAAAAAAAGAAAAUGAAAACUGAUAUGAGCGUAUUGAAUGAUUAUUUAAAAAUGAGUAUUGUUAUUUUUUACACUGAGAUUGUUAAAUAUAUAUCCUACUCUUGUAUACAAGACUUUACAUAACAUAUUUUUGAUAACAAACUUUUACAUGUGACACUCUAAUAGAUAUAUGGUGAAUUCUAUGGUGCCUAUAACUUGGUGUCUAACUUUUGCCUAACUUAUUUUUUAUGGCAACUUUUGAAUAUUUAAUAAUUAUUUAUUUUUAUACUUUUAAAACUAAAUAUUAAUUUUUAACCCUUUUUGAUAAGUUAGGCAAACACUUUUAGGCACCAUAGCAAUCACCUAGAUAUAUAUAUCGAUUGGGGAUAGUUGAUAUGAAGUAUAAGUCAUAUACAUAAAAAGUUUCUGAGUACAGGAAAUAAAAAAGAAAAAGAAGACAACAUUGAGUGUGAAAAUGAGAAAAUAAUAAUUUGAUUAAUUUAUAGAAUACAACUGAAGUUUAUAUAGAUCAGAAGCUAUAACAGAUUUAACAAGAAGGAAUAACACAUAACUGAUCACACAAUAAUAACAAUUUUAUUCUAGUAGAUGGAAUUGACUACAUAAAUCAAACAAAUUCUAUUAUANNNNNNNNNNNACGUCAUUAUGUUACUCUUAUCAAUUAGCAAAAACAUAAAAUUGAAUUAACAUAUCAAAUAUUCUUUUAUUUCAUAAUUUUCAAUUACAAAGGCAAGUCAUAAUAACGAACUUACAAUAUGAUCAAACUAGAGAACGAAGUAAUAUAUUAUAUAACUUAACAAGAAAAUAAGACUUAGCACAUGGACACAAAUUAUAUCCAUAAAACCAUCAUGGCAGAUGGUGUUAUUUAAUUUAGGACAUAUAACAUAUAGUCGUAAUUUGAAGCACACCAUCAUAUAGCAGUGUUUUUAGUUUGCAUUAUUAGUUCUUUAUUGUCUCCUUAUCAACCUUCUCAUUCAUAUUGAGCACACCAUAACCUACUUUGCUAUCUCUUGGAUCUUCAUCAGGUAGAGAAUCUGCUCGGGAAGUAGAAUAGGCAUAAGUCACUUCUCCCUCAUCAUCAUCAUCGCCACGUGAAUAAACAACAGAUUUGCCUUUUACUCUUCUUUCUUUAGCAUCACGUGGAUCCUCAUCAGGAGGUUCUGCUCCAAUGAGAUUACCAAAAUAACCUUCUUUGGCACCGCGUGGAUCAACAAGAGGUUCAGCUGAAGAGCCAUGGACAUGAUCUAGCUUCAAGUCUUCUUCUCCGCCGUCAUCUUCAUCAGGAGGUUCUGCUCGUAAGAGAUGGCCGUAAUAACCACCGGCUUUGGAACUAUAUACUCCUUCGCCAUCACCUUCAGGAGGUUCUGCUCGAAGGACAUGGCCAUAAUAUGAACCUUCUUUGGCACCGCGUGGAUCAAUGAUAGGAGGUUCGGCACUGGAAACUUUGAAAGAGUUGGUUUCUGUUUUUGAAGGCUUCAUCAUUUUGCGAUGCCAGAGUACUCCACCUGCAUCCUCAUCAUUGUUCUCCAUUUCUGUAUAUUUUGAAGGCUUAUUAGUUACUACCAUAUAGUUAGCUUUCAACCAUGCUAAGCUUAUAACAAAAUAGCCACUAAUUUAAAAUACAAAAAUGUUAUUUAUACUUAAAAUCAACCACAAAAAUUAGUUAUUAAUGUAUUUAUGUGUAAAUCUAUGUGUGGUUUAAUUUAUUUUCAAUGUAUAUUUAUAUUCCAACAUAUAUUUUAUACUGUGACCAAUUUUAGUGAUUAAUUUUAAUGUAUACGUAAUAUAGUCGUUUAAAAUAUGUAUUAAAAUAUAAAGUAAAAUGACAAAUAAACUCUUAAAAAUUUAUAUUUUAAACAAAUUAAUUCCUAAAAAAGAUCAAUGAAGUCUUUCACGAUAGCAAACAUAGAUAGGUUAGUUCAAAUUAAAAUUUUAUACCCUAAUUAUAGGAGCUAAUUUGGAGGU
rnacentral:lncRNA from 1 species